CGCUGUUAGACGUGGUGGUUUCACAAUUUAAGGAUUCCAGCUGUGAACAACCAAAAUAACACUGUCAGUGUAUUCAGCUAAGCUUGGUAAGUCAACCAUAGUUAUUGCAUGUAAAACCUUCCUAACUAAAGCAGCUAUCAGGGAAAUCAGUAAGAAAAGACGUGUUAGAGUGCAAGAAGGACAAGGACAACAGUCAGGUGUUUUUAUGUCUUGAAGGACAAGGACAACAGUCAGGUGUUUUUAUGUCUUGAAGGACAAGGACAACAGUCAGGUGUUUUUAUGUCUUGAAGGACAAGGACAACAGUCAGGUGUUUUUAGGUCUUGAAGGACAACAGUCAGGUGUUUUUAUGUCUUGAAGGACAACAGUCAGGUGUUUUUAGGUCUUGUUUUUUACACACCUGUUGUACACACUCUCAUCCUUUUACCUCCCUCUUGUCUUGUCUCUCUCUCUUAGAUUUAUUUUGAGAUGGAGUCGUCCUCGAUAGCGAUGGCAGUAUGUCUUCAUUUCCAGAAGUUCCCCUGUGUAGUUCAGAAGAAACCUCUGAAGUUCAACAUGCUGGUCAAGGUUAAACACCCACCUCAGCCGCAGCCCCCAGCCAAGAAGACACCUGUCACCAGCACCAAAGCCAAGAAAAAGGCGGUCAAAGGCAAAAAGCCUGUCGCUAAAGGUACGGCAACACCAGUCAAACCUGUUCCUUCCGCUGCUACCACCGCCAGUGCCAGUGCUACAGCUAUCUCUGCCACUCAGCCUGUGGUUACCGAACAAUCGGGAGAUAACGUAAGCGCCGUCCAGUCCAGCGAUGCUACCGACAAUGUUGACGCAAAUGAUGUCGUCAAUCCCGUCGACUCUGACACCGUUGCUGGUUCCGUACCAGCACAAACACCGGUAACAUCAGCCUCUGUCCCCGUAGCUCUUCCAGUGUCUGUAAAAGUUGAAGACAAACUGUUAGACUUCACUCCGGUAACUCAGGAGAUCCUGAAGGCCCUGGAGGCAGCAGUGAACCAACGCCGCAUGGAGAAACUAGCUGAGGAACAAAGACAGGACCAGGGAAAGAAGAGCCAGGACAAGCCUCUAUCCGACAAGAAGAGCUCUGUUGCUGGGGAGAAGGAGGAGACCAAGACCCCGGCUGGAGAACUGAACCAGGCCCCAACUCAACCAGAGAAGAAGACUGGAGAGAAGACAGUGACACCGACACAGACUCAAAAAGAUGGGAGAAAUAGAUCUGCGAUUUCCGACGAGAAAAAAAAGCUCCGACCUGAGAAGUCACAGACCGAUAAAAAGCCUCCAACCACACCAGCGAAGAAGACCACAACACAGACAGAAGGAGCAAAGAAACCACCUUCAGGCUCUGGACAACCAGAGAAGAACCAAGGGAAGACCCAAGGCUAUGGAGGAAGAGGCCGGCGCAGGGACCAUUCUUCCCCAGAAAAGAGAGACUCUUCCAGGCAUAGAAGCAGGCGGGCGGCCUCCGAGGAGGAGCAGGGUCCUCCGACGUCGAGACGCGGCGACUCCUCUAGCUCUUCUUCUGGCUCCUGCAGGAGCAACAGACAGGACGGCAGUCCCGCCAAGAAGAAGGGGAGGAAAGACGUGGAGGAGGAGAGGAGCAAGGGUGUUGGCUACGUGGUGGAUGAGUUCACGUCCGACGUCAAUCCCGGUGACACCAACCCAUUCGACCUGGACCAAUUCAACAUGGAUGAGUUCGUCACCGUGGACGAGGUGGAAGGGGAUGAGACGGACAACACCAACCCACCAGAGCCAUCAUCUUCAUCACCCAACCCACCAGAGCCAUCAUCUUCAUCACCCAAUACCCAAGAUGGCGCCUAUGAAAGGUCGGAACGAUCAUCCAAACGCAAGAGGGAUACCCCUGACACCCCAACUUCUACAACGAAAUCUAGCCAGGAGAAAGAGAGACCCCCAUCCAAAAGCACUCCCACCCCCUCCUCUUCUACCUCUACCCCCUCUGGACAGAAGACUCCACGAAAAGCCGCAACAGCCCAAAAAACGCAGGCGGCAAAACCUCAACCACCUGCCACCUCUGGACGCAAGACCAGGUCAUCAGCUGCUGUUGUAGCAACGGAAGCCGCAAAACCCAGAGAAACUGUCACUGACGAUGACCCCACAGUCGGGAUGGAGGCGGAGCCUCUUCCCGUGGAGCUUCUGUCUCAGCCAAUGGCGGAAGCAGCCGCUGCUCAGUUGGUAGAGGAAGUAGUGGUCACAAAGGGAAGUGACGUGGAGAGUGUGGUACUGUCAUCCGACCACAAGGUGUCAGUGUUGGACACGGCAUUGCCGGCGAACAAGGAAGCAGAAAGUGCUGGGUCAGAGAUUGAUAUGGAGACUAAAGUUGAAAAACCUCCAGAGGUAGACGGGGGUAAGGAGAAGGCCCAGGCUAAAAACGGUGACUCGAUUCUGGGUAGCGAGGCUCAGAAUGAAGACUGUCCACUGAAGCUUGAUUUGACUGAUCCGUCUGCCGCAGCCAAGGAGCAAGACCUUCAUACGACCCUAGAACUACAAGAGCUUGAGACGGUGUUGGGUCACCAAGUGCCCCAAUCACUUGUUGGCAAAGUACCCGAAGAAGAAGAAAAUGGAGGUUUACAGAUACUCAAAAAAACUGUGGAUGACACCGUGGUGCCUGCAGCCUCUGAAUUUACGGGUUCCCAGGAGCUCCAAACUACUCUAGAGGAACGCCAAGACGAAGAAGAAUCUGCUUUCCACGUCCUGGACUCUGUAGAAGACGAUGAAGACCGAAGAGAUUCUCUACCCAGAGAGAUGGAAGGGUUCCACAUCCUGGACUCUGUCGAUGAUCAGGUGGCUAUGACAGAAACUCUGGAAAACCAUACUACUGAAUCUAAGGGUACCUCAAAACCCCAGAAAGAGAGUUACAAAAACGGUAAUAUGACACUUCAAAAGAAGGAUGGUAAGAAGAUACCACAAACCCCUGAGAAGGUACAGACCCCCACAGUGGAGUCAGAGAGGGGUGAGGGAGGUACCCACAAAAAGACUAACCUCGUCACCUUGGAUGAGGUGAGUGAGGAAGAGGAGAGUUACCCUGACGACGCUGCCGAAGAGGAAGAGCUGAUGAAGAAACAGAAACUGGCGAAGGAGAAACGGCGAGAGAGGGAAUGGGAGAAGGAGAGGAGGAGUACAGAGCGGGAGAGGAGCAAAGAGAAGGAGCAGGAAUGGAAGAGGGGGAAGGGGAGGUUCAGUGCGGAUACGGAAUGGUUGGUGACUCUGGAUGAGAUUGGAGGAGAUGGGGAUGAGAGAGGAGAGGAGGGUGCGAGGGAUCAGGAGAGCGGAAUAAAUGAGGCAGACCUUCAAGAAUUGGUCACUCUUGAUGAGAUCAUUGGCGAGGAAGGAGGGGAGGGUCCUAGCCCGGUGCCACACCCAUUCUGCCAGGAGGACGAAUCAGGAGACUCCUUCAACACAGAGACUAUGGUGACCCUGGAUGAGGCUGGAGGUGAUCAUGACAUGGAGGAAGAACAGCCCAAGAAGUUUCCAGAACCAGCCCAGACCCGGCACACUGACAACACAGGUACAGGUGUCUCUUAG
ensembl:lncRNA